GACGAACGCUGGCGGCGUGCCUAACACAUGCAAGUCGAACGGAAAGGCCCUGCUUUUGUGGGGUGCUCGAGUGGCGAACGGGUGAGUAACACGUGAGUAACCUGCCCUUGACUUUGGGAUAACUUCAGGAAACUGGGGCUAAUACCGGAUAGGAGCUCCUGCUGCAUGGUGGGGGUUGGAAAGUUUCGGCGGUUGGGGAUGGACUCGCGGCUUAUCAGCUUGAUGGUGGGGUAGUGGCUUACCAAGGCUUUGACGGGUAGCCGGCCUGAGAGGGUGACCGGCCACAUUGGGACUGAGAUACGGCCCAGACUCCUACGGGAGGCAGCAGUGGGGAAUAUUGCACAAUGGGCGGAAGCCUGAUGCAGCAACGCCGCGUGCGGGAUGACGGCCUUCGGGUUGUAAACCGCUUUCGCCUGUGACGAAGCGUGAGUGACGGUAAUGGGUAAAGAAGCACCGGCUAACUACGUG
rnacentral:rRNA from 1 species